rnacentral:snRNA from 1 species
AGUAUAUAAGCAUUUUGCA